CAACCUGCCGAUGACUCGGGGAUAGCCUUUCGAAAGAAAGAUUAAUACCCGAUGGCAUAGUUCUUCCGCAUGGUGGAACUAUUAAAGAAUUUCGGUCAUCGAUGGGGAUGCGUUCCAUUAGGUUGUUGGCGGGGUAACGGCCCACCAAGCCUUCGAUGGAUAGGGGUUCUGAGAGGAAGGUCCCCCACAUUGGAACUGAGACACGGUCCAAACUCCUACGGGAGGCAGCAGUGAGGAAUAUUGGUCAAUGGACGAGAGUCUGAACCANCCNNNUAGCGUGAAGGAUGACUGCCCUAUGGGUUGUAAACUUCUUUUAUACGGGAAUAAAGUGAGGCACGUGUGCCUUUUUGUAUGUACCGUAUGAAUAAGGAUCGGCUAACUCCGUGCCAGCAGCCGCGGUAAUACGGAGGAUCCGAGCGUUAUCCGGAUUUAUUGGGUUUAAAGGGAGCGUAGGCGGACGCUUAAGUCAGUUGUGAAAGUUUGCGGCUCAACCGUAAAAUUGCAGUUGAUACUGGGUGUCUUGAGUACAGUAGAGGCAGGCGGAAUUCGUGGUGUAGCGGUGAAAUGCUUAGAUAUCACGAAGAACUCCGAUUG
rnacentral:rRNA from 1 species